rnacentral:rRNA from 1 species
AUUGAACGCUGGCGGCAUGCCUUACACAUGCAAGUCGAACGGCAGCACGGGAGCAAUCCUGGUGGCGAGUGGCGAACGGGUGAGUAAUAUAUCGGAACGUGCCCAGACGUGGGGGAUAACGUAGCGAAAGCUACGCUAAUACCGCAUGUGAUCUGUGGAUGAAAGCGGGGGAUCGCAAGACCUCGCGCGUUUGGAGCGGCCGAUAUCAGAUUAGGUAGUUGGUGGGGUAAAGGCCUACCAAGCCUACGAUCUGUAGCUGGUCUGAGAGGACGACCAGCCACACUGGGACUGAGACACGGCCCAGACUCCUACGGGAGGCAGCAGUGGGGAAUUUUGGACAAUGGGCGCAAGCCUGAUCCAGCAAUGCCGCGUGCAGGAUGAAGGCCUCGGUUGUAACUGCUUUGUACGGUAACGAAACGGUACUUUC